GACAUGUAGCCUCCAACUGCAGAAGUCACUCCGGGUGUCUUUUGUAUUCCCCAGCAGAAGCAAUGGGAGUCGUUACGGGAACAUCUCCAGCAAUUAACCAGUGCAAUGUCCUCCUUUCCCUGAGGCAGCUCGUCGUGGCUGGCAGUCUGUCUGCAUUUGCUCCCUUGACAAUUUGGUGAUUUCAGAGGUGAAUAAAUACUCAGAUAUUGUCCACGUAUUUCUACAGGCAGGUCUUCUGUGUAGUUGAAAUGUAGGCUAUAAUAGUGUUCCCAUGCAAUAGUACAGCGUACAGUGGUGGACAGGCAGUGUGCCUGUGUUUGCAUGAAAAAGGGAUUUUGUCAGAGACAGAAGUGUCCCUGCUAGAGGGGCACCAUGUCACUAAAGCUGGUCUGCUAGGUUGGGUUUUUUGUUUAAUUACUUGAUCUAAUCUGGAAGUCUGUGGACCACUUAAAAUUUUACCUGCUCUGAGUCUCAGAUUUCUUCGGAUAUUUACUGUUAUUUUUUUCCCUGUAUGCUUUCUGAGCAGCAUUAUUCUUUUCUUUCUUUUUUUUUUUUUUCCUCUUGAUUCUGCAGUCUGCUCAAGCCGCUGGUUGAGCAUUAGCUUUGCUUUAGGAUGGCUGUGGAUGAUAUGGUUUAUUACCAGUUCAACGUGUGUUACCCAGCCAUCUUGAAAAGCAAUGAAUUUUGGGAAGACAAUGCUCACAGGGUUGCGCUGCUUGUACACCUAACAUAACUCUAGAGAAGAAAAAGGGCUCAAAGCUUCUUACAGGAGCAUUGAGAACUCCCUCUGGUUGGAUUCCCAAACUGCUCUGCAGGUUGCUGGCUACAGCAGACUACCAAAACAAAUCUCUUACCAUGAUCAAGGUCAGAGCCAGGUCAGUCAUUCACAGAAUAUUACAUUUCUUCUUGGAAGCAGGAAGCAUUUGAUAUUUGAUUUCCCUGUGCGCCACUCUUUGAUGGAUUUUCCUUUUCUUUCCUGCAGAGGGAAGAAUCUGUUAUGUUAAAACUGUUAUGUGUAUUUACAUAUAGUGACUGAUAUAUAUUUAAUACUGAUAGUGUCCUGGAAAAGCAUUAAGGAAAUGCAUCUUCUGGCUCUGCAAAAGUAUGUAGUAGGCUAUUCUGCUGGAGUUGAAGGUAAUUCUUUAUGGAAAAGUACAUGCACA
rnacentral:lncRNA from 1 species